rnacentral:rRNA from 1 species
UACGAAGGGGGCUAGCGUUGCUCGGAAUCACUGGGCGUAAAGCGCACGUAGGCGGAUUGCUAAGUCAGGGGUGAAUCCUGGAGCUCAACUCCAGAACUGCCUUUGAUACUGGCAACCUUGAGUCCGGGAGAGGUGAGUGGAACUGCGAGUGUAGAGGUGAAAUUCGUAGAUAUUCGCAAGAACACCAGUGGCGAAGGCGGCUCACUGGCCCGGUACUGACGCUGAGUGCGAAAGCGUGGGAGCAACAGG